GACGUAGGGCGCGAGCGUUGUCCGGAUUUAUUGGGCGUAAAGAGCUCGUAGGCGGUUUGUCGCGUCUGCUGUGAAAUCCCGAGGCUCAACCUCGGGCCUGCAGUGGGUACGGGCAGACUGGAGUGCGGUAGGGGAGAAUGGAAUUCCUGGUGUAGCGGUGGAAUGCGCAGAUAUCAGGAGGAACACCGAUGGCGAAGGCAGUUCUCUGGGCCGUAACUGACGCUGAGGAGCGAAAGCGUGGGGAGCGAACAGG
rnacentral:rRNA from 1 species